GUAAACAUAAUGAUUUCUACUGACCAAAGAGAUUAAUUUUGAAGUUAUUUACACAGUCAUGUUAUAAUACCUGGACGUUUAAAACGGUGAAGAAACGAUGAAUCUGUAAGUCAGAACAGAGGUAGAAAGACGAGAAAUACAGCACAAGUGAAAGAUGUUCGACUUUUUUUCAAUCAACUUUUCUGGAAGCUUCGUUGAAAAUGUUCAUCUGUCCUGUAUAUUAUUUUUACUGGUUUUUGGAAUACUCAUAGUUAUAUUAUUCUUAUCGAUAUUCUUGAAGUAUGACCACAUCAAUUCAGACAGUUUAUUUCUCGCUUUGAUAAUAGGAUUUGUUCAUCAAAGUUUUGUAUCAAUGAACUGGCUAGAAUCAACAUAUCAUCUAAAUAGAAUGACUGUUUUCGUGUUCGAUUGGUACACUUUUCCCGUCGCCUGUUUCAUAUUUACUUUUGGCGUGGUGUGCAUGAUAGAUUGUUCAAAAGAGGAGUCAACACCAAGAAUAUUUGCAUAUAGAGUUUACAUUUCUGCGGUUUUACUGCUAGUUUUUGUAAUGGGAAUUUACGGAUUCAGUACCCAACAUGCAAAUUAUUAUAACUUGAAGUUUCACAAAGCAGGAUUUUUAGGCAACAUGAUUAAAAUCGUGAGUUACGCUUUGGAAUAUGUUUUAGUUUAUGCUCCUAUUACUGUGAUCCUGCUCUGGAACAUGAAGAGAUGUGGGCCUAUUAGCAGUCAACAAGGUGGACAUCACGAGCAGUGUAUGACGUGUGAUAAUAAUAUUAUAGUACAACGAUAUAUCUUAAUGUUUAUGUUGUUUGUGAUUUGGAUCGUGAGACCAAUUUUUUGGAUUAUAAACUUCCAUUACAAUUUUUUGACACAAGAUUUUAUUCCUAGCAUGACAGUGUGUAUGGUGUAUAUUUUUUUACUCUGGGAUUUUGGUAUUUUCUACUUGAAGGACUUGUUAUAUACAUUUACAUGUUCUUAGAGCAAUCCAUCAAUUCAAAUACCAGAAAAGUGUUAACUUACGAUCAUUAUUAACUGAGAAAUAGAUCUAAUACUGAAAACUUCACAUGAACAAGUGUAAAAAUGAUGUCAUGGGAUCUACCUCCAUUCAACUGUUUGCCAUCCGGGGUGAAAUGUGAGGAUUUUGAUAUUAGUUACCACUAUAGGAGGACAUAUGUCUCACCAUCCGCAUGAUAUACUCUGAACAAUAUUCUAAUUUGAAAUAACAUUAGGUAAUAUUUUGUGAUCUACGAUUACGUGCACAUUCAUACAUUCAAUCUUAACAGUUUUUGUCUCCCGCGGUCAUUUGCCAAAACAGUCUAAAUGCACACCAGUGUUAUUUAUUGUUUUCUUUUUGUGAAUUUAGAAAAUACACUAGGGUGAAGGUUGGCGCCUGUUAAAACGUUUAAACCCGCUGCAUUUGUUUGCACCUGUCCUAAGUCAGGAACCUGUUUCAGUGGUUGUCGUUUGUUGAUGU